UGCAUACAUAAUGCCUGCCACUGGGUUUUAAUGAAUUAAGGGUGGGGAAUAGGAAAUUCAGUGCAGAAACUUCCUUAUUGCACACCAACAUGUAAGAAUUCUUGUGAAAAAUUACAUCUUAAAAAUAUAUAUGUAGUUUGCUCAUAAACAUCGGACACUUGAAUUUCACAGCAAUAUACUUGUUCAGACCCAGCAGUCAAACAUGGAUUAGCAGCUCCAGAAGCAUGUAAUAUGUUAAUUCACAUAAACUGUGUAGAAAAAUAAAUAAAUAAAUAAAUAAAAUAAAAAAGACUCAUUACACCUAGGGAAAACAAACAAACAAAAAAACAAACAAAAAAAAACAACAAAAAACACUGACUUUCUCAAGUUGUGUAUUAUAUUUACAAUUACAUUUACAUAGCUUCUCUGUCAAAUGCAUUGACAUUAGAGCUGCUCUGAAUUUACAAAUUUACAGAAAAUAUACCCUCUCUCAUUCUUCUGUAAAAAAAAAAAAAAAAAAAAAAAAAAAGCUUAUCAAAAGGUUCAAGAAACAGGGUGGGGAAAAAUACUAUAACAUGCAGGCAUCUGUUCAGAGUAGAUAUUUUGACCAAACAUGGGAUCCCUAAGGGCAGAAAGAUAGGUCAUAAAAUCUUCCUCAGACACAUAGUUUGUUCUCCAAGGCAAGAUUUAUGAUUUUGUCCUGCUCCUCUAACAAGAUAAUUCCUGUUAACAUAUCAAGUUUGUGGAUGAGGCAAGAUCACAGUUCAAAUAAUCUUCCCUACUCUGCUCUUGUGCCAGCUUUCACAGACAAGGAAGAAUGCAACAUGCAUAUAGAUUCAGGGUUGGGGAUAAUCCAUCAUCAUCCUGAACUUCAAAAUGACGACAUCUGGACUACAUCCUCACAAUGGUGUAGUACUGACACUUCAAACAAACUCAGAAAAUGGUUAAAAAAAGAAGCACUACUUACAACCAUCUCACAAGGAUAAUCAUCUGUGGGCAAACAAAAGACUAAAAGACUCAUUCUUGCUGGAAACAUUUGAAGUUCCUUUUUUUUUUUUUUUUUUUUUCUUUUUCUUUCUUCCCUUUUCCUGGCUUUAACUUAUUGAACUUUUUAGUUAAGGCAGCCUGAAGGCACUAAAUUACAGAUGGUGCUCACUCAUUCUAAAAUUGAAACCUUCCUCUUUCAAAAGGUAAUUGUUUCCAGUUGAUACAUGCAACAUGAAUUGGAUAAGUCAAUCAUUUCUUGAAUGAAAAUAGCUCUUAUAUUCUUGCAAAGUCAAACUCUGUCUAAGGAUCUCUUUGUCCUAAGAAAAGAAAUUGCAUGCUAUUUCCUUCCCUUAUGAUCUAACUUUGUGUCAACUCCCUCUAUAGUACCUUUGGCAGAAAAAGUAAAAGUAACAAAUGUUCCUUAUUAUUUAUAGUCCUUGAAUGUAAAAAUAAAAAUUUGAAAAAGGUAGAUUAUAUAUUUGAA
rnacentral:lncRNA from 1 species